UGGGGAAUAUUGCACAAUGGGCGCAAGCCUGAUGCAGCCAUGCCGCGUGUGUGAAGAAGGCCUUCGGGUUGUAAAGCACUUUCAGCGGGGAGGAAGGCGUUAAGGUUAAUAACCUUGGCGAUUGACGUUACCCGCAGAAGAAGCACCGGCUAACUCCGUGCCAGCAGCCGCGGUAAUACGGAGGGUGCAAGCGUUAAUCGGAAUUACUGGGCGUAAAGCGCACGCAGGCGGUCUGUCAAGUCGGAUGUGAAAUCCCCGGGCUAAACCUGGGAACUGCAUUCGAAACUGGCAGGCUAGAGUCAGGUAGAGGGGGGUAGAAUUCCAGGUGGAGCGGUGAAAUGCGUAGAGAUCUGGAGGAAGACCGGUGGCGAAGGCGGCCCCCUGGACAAAGACUGACGCUCAGGUGCGAAAGCGUGGGGAGCAAACAGG
rnacentral:rRNA from 1 species